GAUGAACGCUGGCGGCGUGCCUAAUACAUGCAAGUCGAGCGAACGGACGAGAAGCUUGCUUUUCUGAUGUUAGCGGCGGACGGGUGAGUAACACGUGGAUAACCUACCUAUAAGACUGGGAUAACUUCGGGAAACCGGAGCUAAUACCGGAUAAUAUUUUGAACCGCAUGGUUCAAAAGUGAAAGACGGUCUUGCUGUCACUUAUAGAUGGAUCCGCGCUGCAUUAGCUAGUUGGUAAGGUAACGGCUUACCAAGGCAACGAUGCAUAGCCGACCUGAGAGGGUGAUCAGCCACACUGGAACUGAGACACGGUCCAGACUCCUACGGGAGGCAGCAGUAGGGAAUAUUCCGCAAUGGGCGAAAGCCUGACGGAGCAACGCCGCGUGAGUGAUGAAGGUCUUCGGAUCGUAAAACUCUGUUAUUAGGGAAGAAAAUAUGUGUAAGUAACUGUGCACAUCUUGACGGUACCUAAUCAGAAAGCCACGGCUAACUACGUG
rnacentral:rRNA from 1 species